CUGCAAGCACACCGUGCUCCCUCCCCUGGCGCCCUAGUCCCCAACGCCGGAAAUGCCGCUGCUGCUGCUCCUGAACGCCAGUGCCGACCACCAUCUCCCAUAGUGCAGAGCUCCCGAUCCUCCUCUUGCCAGGGCGCCAUCGCUGAGCUCGCCCUGCCCCAGCCAUGGACGCCGUCGGGCCACCCGUCUCCUAUCUCCUCUCGCCCUCAUCCUCUGGCUGCUGCCCCUUCCUAUUCCUGGUGGCUGAGUCUUCUUCCAUGGAUGCUGGCCGUGCUGCCCUCUCUGGUGCUCACCUCUGCCCCCUGCGUUGGAUGGCCGGUUGCUCCUGCCCUAGAUUAUCCUCAUGCCCGGCCGCGGUACAACAGCAACAUCCAUGAAACCCCUUCGUGUCGUGCCCUCGAUGUGCUCGAUGAAAUACCGCAGCGAGCUCCGCCCCGAAUCUGCGCAACCCUGGCCUUGUUGUCGACCUCAGUGAGCACCUGCUGCUGCCUAGCUGUUUUUGCGCUCCAUGUGUUUGAUAAAAUGAAAGUCAUGUGA
rnacentral:misc_RNA from 1 species